CCUACGGGGGGCAGCAGUGGGGAAUAUUGCACAAUGGGGGAAACCCUGAUGCAGCAACGCCGCGUGAGCGAUGAAGGCCUUCGGGUCGUAAAGCUCUGUCCUAAGGGAAGAAUACUGACGGUACCUUAGGAGGAAGCCCCGGCUAACUACGUGCCAGCAGCCGCGGUAAUACGUAGGGGGCAAGCGUUAUCCGGAAUCACUGGGCGUAAAGGGUGCGUAGGCGGCUAAGUAAGCCAGGGGGGAAAGGCUACGGCUCAACCGUAGUAAGCCUUUGGAACUACUUAGCUUGAGUGCAGGAGAGGGGAGGGGAAUUCCUAGUGUAGCGGUGAAAUGCGUAGAUAAUAGGAGGGACCCCAGGGGCGAAGGCGACCCUCUGGACUUUAACCGACGCUGGGGCAAGAAAGCCUGGGGAGCAAACAGGAUUAGAUACCCUGGUAGUC
rnacentral:rRNA from 1 species